rnacentral:lncRNA from 1 species
AGAGUAACCCUCCCUUAACCUGUGAAGCUCGCCUUCCAUCUUCUUCGACCCUUUUGUCAAAUGAAGAACUUUCUUCUUUAGCCACUGGAUCGUGGACUUCAGUGGAAUCUCCUGGGGCAGGGGAAGUACUUCGGCAGGACACUGCCAUCGAGAGACAAAAGCAUCAAGGCGCGUCUCAUUGCAGAAAGAAAAACAAAAAGGGGGAAGGA